rnacentral:rRNA from 1 species
UACGUAGGGGGCAAGCGUUGUCCGGAAUUACUGGGCGUAAAGCGCGUGUAGGUGGUGGGACAAGUCUGCUGUGAAAGCGCCUGGCUUAACCGGGCGAGGUCGGCGGAAACUGUCCGACUCGAGGACGGUAGAGGGGGUGGAAUUCCCGGUGUAGUGGUGAAAUGCGUAGAGAUCGGGAAGGAACACCUGUGGCGAAGGCGGCCCCCUGGGCCGGCCCUGACACUGAGACGCGAAGGCGUGGGGGAGCGAACGGG